GUAAUAAUUGAGAUGACAUGCUGAUGGACUUUCCCACAAUCCAUUUACAUCUGCUUUCAUCUUACAUCUUUCAUGGAAUCAUCUCUCCACCCUCUUGUCUACAUCUGGUCACUUCUGGCUCCAAAGUUCCAAGAUGGCGACAGCCAAAAGCCAUAACUCCAGAUACAAUCCAUGCAGAGCUGUCGCUUGGGUAGUAACACUAAAGAUGCAAUCACGGCGGUCGGCGGGUGGAAGAUGGACGAG